GACGUAGGGCGCGAGCGUUGUCCGGAUUUAUUGGGCGUAAAGAGCUCGUAGGCGGCUUGUCGCGUCGACUGUGAAAUCCCGCGGCUCAACUGCGGGUCUGCAGUCGAUACGGGCAGGCUAGAGUUCGGUAGGGGAGACUGGAAUUCCUGGUGUAGCGGUGAAAUGCGCAGAUAUCAGGAGGAACACCGGUGGCGAAGGCGGCUCACUGGACCGGAACUGACGCUGAGGCGCGAAAGCGUGGGGAGCAAACAGG
rnacentral:rRNA from 1 species